rnacentral:lncRNA from 1 species
AUUUAUAUCCAUAAUUCCUCAUUUGAAUGGCCUUUUCUUUUUGCUUAGACAAUGCCUACGCCUAGCCACAGCAGCUCCCUCAUACAGACUCCGCAAGCCAAGAGGCCAUGGAGGCAAAUGCAGCCAGCACACCUCGAACAGCCACCUUGACUGCGGGUGUGUCACCCUCGUCGCCAAGGAAACAUUUGAGGGAAAGCGACAGGCAAUGUGAACAGCCACUUCUCCAUGUAAACGAUACUCUUUUUCUCGGAUGACUCCUACGCCUCGCCACGGCAGCACACUUGUGCACAAAGAUGCCGCGGAGGCACGUGCAGGUCAGAGGCAAGAAGCAGUGGCACUGGUGUCGACAUUCACCCAAUUUCUUUUUCUUACACUGAGGCAGCCAGCACACCUCGAACAGCCACCUUGACUGCGGGUGUGUCAGUAGAUUCCUGUUGUACAUAUGCUCAUAAUAAACUUCAGUAAACUUCAA